AUCUCGGCCUCCGCAGAGUACUGCCUGCUGCUGCCGUCCCGUCUGCGCUCCAGGGCCACUGAACACAGCAAGACAAUUUGUGAAAUUGGCGGAGAACCGGGUCUUCCUGCCCAGUCCACGAGUGACAUUAGCAGAGAGGAUCAUGGGAUGUCCAUCAGCGGCCACUUUGGCUUCAAGAUGAAAACGCGUUCUCUGCUCUGACAGGAGCGUCUGAGUGUCAACCAAACCCUGAUGACAACACCAAGAAAAUCAUUUUAAGGUCAAAUCUUUCCUGCAGUUUAAUUCUAAUAUAAUAAAUCACAAUGCCUACCAUGACAUAAUAAUGAGACCCAUCAAUCAACAGCUCCAGCUUUCCCGACUUUAUGUUCCUCUCCUGCUCAAGUUGCCCUGAGAAAACAACACAGCAUGAGAAUAUACCCUGGACAGAUGGGUUUUUAUUAUGGUGUUCGUGUGUGACCAACCCUGUAUUUGGAUGAUUUUCAGCGGAUGGGUGAUCCUCAACAACAGUCUGCGAGGGUUGAAGGUGAGGUCCACAGACAUGUCCCUGGGAAUGGAGGACUGGGGUGUGGCCAGGAGGAGGUGGAUGGAGGCCUCUUCGGGGAGCCAGCUGCCCCUCUGAAACACAAGUUGGACCAGCGUUGGAGCAGCGAGUAAGCGGCCUCCAGCAGGUAGUAAUGGAGGCCUCUGUCCAGCUUCAGCAGCCUGAGGGAGAGGUGGACCGGUCCAGG